ACUCCUACGGGAGGCAGCAGUGGGGAAUUUUGGACAAUGGGCGCAAGCCUGAUCCAGCCAUGCCGCGUGCGGGACGAAGGCCUUCGGGUUGUAAACCGCUUUCAGCCGGAAAGAAAUCGCCAAGGCUAAUAUCCUUGGUGGAUGACGGUACCGGAAGAAGAAGCACCGGCUAACUACGUGCCAGCAGCCGCGGUAAU
rnacentral:rRNA from 1 species